UCUUGUGAUGUGACAACUGUGGAAUAACAUUUGGUCACAAAGCUGGUGUUAACAAGCACAACUGGCACUCUGGUAAUUAGACUGAUUCCUGGUCUACUUUCACAGAUUGUCGAUAAAUGCAGUAAACAACAGGCUGCUUUCUCUCAGAAGAAGUUAUAUGAAGUUGUCAUCCAUUUGAUGACCUGCAUUAGUGGAAAUCUGAACUGUAGUUUGGUGUUUCCACCCUCAUGGCAGAGUAAGAAGGAAUGAGAGCUCCUUCCCUAGGCCCUGUACCUCCUCCAAGCCCACAGCCUGGCUCUGCACAUAGGAAAAUGUGUGAAUGCUGUAACUCUGUCUCCUCCACUUGAAAGCAGAAGAAUUUAAUCAACUGAGUUUUCUAGGUGUCAGACAAUCCUGGAGCCAAGAACCUCCAAACACGUUUCAUCCUCUGGUUUCCCUGAAACUUUAGUUACACCUUGAAGUUACUGGAAUACAUGUUCUGUUCAAGCAACCAUAUAUAAAAUUGCCUUGGGGAUCAGCUGAGACCUCGUGGAAGAAAUCUCAUUUGAAACAACAGGAAGGUACUUCACCUUGGCUCAAGCCACAGCACAACACAUGCCUUCUCCUCCUUCUCCAGCCCUGCUGUGAGUCAAAGGCAUUUUCAGAGCUGCUACUUUCCUGUGCUGAACAGCCUUGAGCCUCUUCCUGUUGCUCCAUCUU
rnacentral:lncRNA from 1 species